UCAGUAUACAGAACGAUUUUGGACUUCGCAGUUAACGCAUUUUACGCAGUUCUCUGUAACUCUGUGUUCGAAUAGAAAAUCGAUAUCAGAAGAAGUUUGCUCGAUUCUUGUGCCUCGAACGUGUUAAUCCAUCCGAAUGGAUCGAUCGAGAAGUGCAUACCAUUGCUUGGAACGACGCUCCGCUCGAAACGGACCUUGGAGGAAUUUGCAGCACGGGGGGAUCGGCCGUUACAUUCCGCGACCACGUUUCAGAUUCAACGGAUGGAGGAGCGUAUAAAAGGAGGAUGGUCGAUUCGAUGGAUAAACGGAUCAAAUCUACGCAUAAACGGAGAGUCGAAACGGUAGUAGGCCCAAGAUAAAUUUACGAAAGGACCGGUGUACAGGACGCGAGCAAAGUCGAGCCAACCUUAAUUCGAUUCCCUGCCAGAGAAAAAUUAACUUCUCUGUACUGUGAGGAGAAUUUUACCCCCCAAAAAAAAAAAGAAAAAAAGAAAA